UCCCUGGUGGUCCAGUGGCUAGGACUCCGCACUCCUAAUGCGGGGGGCCUGGGUUCAAUCCCUGGUCAGGGAA
rfam:TPA: Bos taurus chromosome 7, whole genome shotgun sequence.